GAAAGAUCAAAUAAAUUACCUUUUUUCACUUAAGUGACCCAGUUAAGUAAUCAUGGGCCUCAAUAACAUCCUUUGCUUCGAAAAAAUAGCAUGGCGCUAUUCUGCACCAGCAUCCAAUCUAAUCUGGUCCCAUACUCCUUGUGCAAAAGGACACCAGGCAAACAAAUGAUCAGAAGUCUCUUCAUAAUCUUGGGCCUUGGCACAUAGCACACGACGUCGAAGGAACUUGUACAUUUCUUUUACGUAAAGCCUCCAUAGUAUGAAGUCGGUCCAAAUAGACUCGCCAAGCUAAAAAAUUAACUUUCAGCGGAGUCCAAUUGUUCCAGCAAAAACCGGCCCCGCCAUUCACGUCAGCCUGCUCAUCCAGCCGGUUCCUUAGACUGCUAACUGUGAAUGAGCUCAUCCAGCCAGUUCCUUAGACUGCUAACUAUUCUUUUAUACUCUGAACCCCCCAAAAAGCAGCAGCUGAAAGGUGAAGCCGGCGUUAUCGGCGUUAUCUUCAGGUUUGUUUCGUGAAAUCAGAAUGGAAAUGCAGAUGCCAGCGGUUAAAGCUACACUUUGUCUUGGAUCCGAGACGCAUUCUAUAGAAGCUUGCAAAGGGAUUCUUUCGGAACAAUUGGUUUUUGUGAAAGGAGAAAGUAUGAACAUAUUGAAGGAGUUUAUAACCACGCAUAACGUUCCAAUUGAUGUACCUGAUGAAGUAACAUCUGAAGACGAUGAUGGCGAUGAUGAGGCGCCCACUGUCAAGUCAAAGAAGGUUAGAACAUAGAAGAGAGAGUAAUUGAUUUAUCCAUUUUUUGGAUAUGAUUAAAUUAAAUUAUUUGGUUUGAACAUCUUCAUUUGUAAAAGAUUGUAUUCUACUUGUAUUACCGUUAAAAAUAGCAUCUGUUAAACA